UGCCGCUUGCGAGGGCGUAUGGUGGAUGCCUUGGCAGACAGUACCGAUGAAGGACGUUUGAGGAUGCGAUAAUCCUAGGGGAGCCUCCAACAUGGCUUUGAUCCUAGGGUCUCCGAAUGGGGGAACCCGCCGGCCGUCAUGGGCCGGCACCGCCUAUGGGCGGGGGGUACGCAGGGAAGUGAAACAUCUCAGUACCUGCAGGAAGGGAUACUCCGUGAGUAGUGGCGAGCGAAAGCGGAUCAGACCAAACCGGUUGCGCGUGAUACCCGUCGGGGGUUGCGUUGCCGGUGUCGUGGGAUCACGUGUCCCGGUUCCGACGGGCCGGGCGGGAGUCAUAAAACGGCUUGCCAGGGGAACAGGCUUGAAGGCCUGGCCGUAGAGGGUGCCAGCCCCGUACCUGGACGUGAGCCGUCUUCCGAUCGUGUUGUCCCAAGUAGCGCGGGCCUCGUGGAAUCCCGCGUGAAUCAGCCCAGACCGUUGGGUAAGUCUAAGCAUACCUGUCUGACCGAUAGCGUACCAGUACCGUGAGGGAAAGGUGAAAAGCACCCCGGGAGGGGAGUGAAACAGUUCCUGAAACCGUGCGCCCACAAACCGUCGGAGCCUCCUUGUGGGGUGACGGCGUGCCUAUCGAAAAAUGAGUCUGCGAGUCAGUGGCGGGUGGCGAGCAUAAGCCGUGUGGCGUAUGCGUAGCGAAAGCGAGUCCGAAUAGGGCGUUUCCAGUCGCUUGUCCUGGACCCGAAGCGGGAUGAUCUAGCCCUGGGCAGGUUGAAGCGCGGGUAAGACCGCGUGGAGGACCGAACCCACCUGGGUUGAAAACCGGGGGGAUGACCUGGGGCUAGGGGUGAAAGGCCAAUCAAAUUCCGUGAUAGCUGGUUCUCUCCGAAAUGCAUUUAGGUGCAGCGUCGGUCGAUUGCGUCGCGGGGGUAGAGCUACCGGAUGCUUGCGGGCCCUUGUUGGGUACCAACAGCAGCCGAACUCCGAAUACCGUUGACGUGUAUUCCGGCAGUGAGUCGGCGGGGGAUAAGCUCCGUCGUCGAGAGGGAGACAGCCCAGACCGUCGUCUAAGGUCCCGAAGCGUGUGCUAAGUGGGAAAGGAUGUGGAGUCGCAUAGACAGCCAGGAGGUUGGCUCAGAAGCAGCCAUCCUUGAAAGAGUGCGUAACAGCUCACUGGUCUAGUGGUUCCGCGCCGACAAUGUAGCGGGGCUCAAGCACACCACCGAAGACGCGGCAGCAAUCUUCAUGGUUGCUGGGUAGGAGAGCGUCCUGCGAGGGGCGAAGCGGCCGGGUAACCGUGCCGUGGACUUCGUGGGAGUGAGAAUGCAGACAUGAGUAGCGAGAGACGGGUGAGGAUCCCGUCCGCUGGAUGACCAAGGGUUCCGGGGCCACGUUCGUCGUCCCCGGGUGAGUCGGGUCCUAAGGCGAGGCCGACAGGCGUAGUCGAAUGGAUGAACGGGUGGAUAUUCCCGUACCGACCAUGGACCGGCAAAACCGAGACGGUGAGUACUAACCUCCGCCUCGUGGUGGUUCCUUCCUUCGGGUUGGUGUCGCCGCGUGGUGUUGGGACUGUAGCCGUAGUAGGUCAGCGCAGGGGUGACACGGAAUGGGAGCCGGCCGCGGAGGUGGUUUUCCGUGGUCAAGCACGCAGCCAGUCAUGUAGGCAAAUCCGCAUGGCGUGCAUGGCGAGGUGUGAUGAUGGGAGCCUUUUGGGCUCGAUAUCCGGUUGUCCAGGCCGUCGAGAAAAGCCUCGGCGUGAGGGCCAUGGCCGCCCGUACCCCAAACCGACACUGGUGGUCAGGUAGAGAAUACCAAGGCGAUCGAGCGAAUCCUGGUCAAGGAACUCGGCAAAUCACUCCCGUGCCUUCGGUAUAAGGGAGACCCACUGGGGUGAAGGACCUUGCGUCCGGAGCUUUGGUGGGUGGCACAGACCAGGGGGUAGCGACUGUUUACCAAAAACACAGGUGCAUGCGAAGGCGAAAGCCGCUGUAUAUGCACUGACGCCUGCCCGGUGCCGGAAGGUUAAGAGGAGAUGUCACACUUAUGUGGAAGCAUUGAAUUGAAGCCCCGGUAAACGGCGGCCGUAACUAUAACGGUCCUAAGGUAGCGAAAUUCCUUGUCAGGUAAG
rnacentral:rRNA from 1 species